rnacentral:rRNA from 1 species
AGUUUGAUCCUGGCUCAGGACGAACGCUGGCGGCGUGCUUAACACAUGCAAGUCGAGCGGUAAGGCUCCUUCGGGAGUACACGAGCGGCGAACGGGUGAGUAACACGUGAGCAAUCUGCCCUUCACUUUGGGAUAACCACCGGAAACGGUGGCUAAUACCGAAUACGACCACUUCAGGCAUCUGAUGGUGGUGGAAAGUUCCGGCGGUGAAGGAUGAGCUCGCGGCCUAUCAGCUUGUUGGUGGGGUAACGGCCCACCAAGGCAACGACGGGUAGCCGGCCUGAGAGGGUGACCGGCCACACUGGGACUGAGACACGGCCCAGACUCCUACGGGAGGCAGCAGUGGGGAAUAUUGGACAAUGGGCGAAAGCCUGAUCCAGCAACGCCGCGUGAGGGAUGACGGCCUUCGGGUUGUAAACCUCUUUCAGCAGGGACGAAGCGCAAGUGACGGUACCUGCAGAAGAAGCACCGGCCAACUACGUGCCAGCAGCCGCGGUAAUACGUAGGGUGCGAGCGUUGUCCGGAAUUAUUGGGCGUAAAGGGCUCGUAGGCGGUUUGUCGCGUCGGGAGUGAAAACUCAGGGCUUAACCCUGAGCCUGCUUCCGAUACGGGCAGACUACAGGUAUGCAGGGGAGAACGGAAUUCCCUGGUGUAGCGGUGAAAUGCGCAGAUAUCAGGAGGAACACCGGUGGCGAAGGCGGUUCUCUGGGCAUUACCUGACGCUGAGGAGCGAAAGUGUGGGGAGCGAACAGGAUUAGAUACCCUGGUAGUCCACACCGUAAACGUUGGGCGCUAGGUGUGGGACUCAUUCCACGAGUUCCGUGCCGCAGCUAACGCAUUAAGCGCCCCGCCUGGGGAGUACGGCCGCAAGGCUAAAACUCAAAUGAAUUGACGGGGGC